rnacentral:misc_RNA from 1 species
GAUGAAGAACGUAGCGAAAUGCGAUAAGUAAUGUGAAUUGCAGAAUUCAGUGAAUCAUCGAAUCUUUGAACGCACAUUGCGCCCGCCAGUAUUCUGGCGGGCAUGCCUGUCUGAGCGUCAUUUCAACCCUCAUGCCCCUAGGGCGUGGUGUUGGGGAUCGGCCAAAGCCCGCGAGGGACGGCCGGCCCCUAAAUCUAGUGGCGGACCCGUCGUGGCCUCCUCUGCGAAGUAGUGAUAUUCCGCAUCGGAGAGCGACGAGCCCCUGCCGUUAAACCCCCAACUUUCUAAGGUUGACCUCAGAUCAGGUAGGAAUACCCGCUGAACUUAAGCAUAUCAAUAAGCGGAGGA